rnacentral:lncRNA from 1 species
AACUCAUAUAGGCCACACAACAAUGUGAAACAACAAAAUUUACAAACAAAGCACCAAAUCAUAAUUAUUAGGUCUCAUAACUUGGUAGGAAUGCAAAAACAUACACCGAAUAGAAAGUAGGAAACAUAAACAGUUUUUGUGGGAAAAUUAAAAAAAAAAAAGAAGAAGCCAAGUAACAUUUCAAACAAAUUGCCCCUAAAGUCGGACAAUAGGGUAAGUUGUCCUAAUAUUAAACUUAGUAGCCUUCUGGCUUGUAGGCAAUGAAACUGAUGCACUGCACUUGACGCACGUUGUCGAAUCCAAUAAUACGGAUCCAGGCUUGUGGGUAUGCCUUCUUCGCCUCUUCCACCUCGGCCAACACUUGGGUGGCAUCAGUGCAUCCGAACAUAGGCAACUUCCACAUGGUCCAGUAUCUGCAUCAAAAAGAGGAUUCAGGAUUUAAAAUUUAAGGUUUUGUUCUUUCAAGACAUGAACGUUGUACUACUUUUUAAGAUUUGCACACACAUAUCCAUGAUUUAACUAAAUAAUUGUCGAUCUAGUACUGACCUGCCGUCAUAGUAUCCUGGUGACUUGUGGUGUUCACGGUAGACAAAUCCGUGCUGCAACAUGUGAAAUAAUAUAUUAAAGUUAAAAGUUAAUUUUUUUCUAAAUGUAUAAAUAUGUCAGUCUUUUUUUUAGGAACAAAUAGAAGGAAAAAAAAAUGUCGCAUAAAAUUGAAGGAGUAUGCAAAAUUUAGAACAAAUAUUGACCUCAGUCUCGAAUUCCAAGCAAGGAACCCAUCCAUUUUUCAAGAGGUACUCAAUUUCGCUAAGCAAUUGCUCCACGCUCAGAUCAGGAAGGUAUGAGAGAGUCUCGUACUUCUUCUUGUUAAUUGGUGGCCACACCUAUACUCCACCAAAUAGAAUUUUUAGCUGUGACAUCUUAAGAUUCAUUAAUUGUAUCAAAAUUCUUUGCAUUGUGAGUGUAUAUAAGUUACCUGCAUGCAUUGCACUCUUCCGCCGUUGCUGGCAAUGGAAGUGAUGUCAAGGUUUUGCUUCCUUGAAACAGGGAACGAGGCAGCUGACUUAAGACCAGUGAAAGGUGCAACCAUGUUAGCUUGAGCAACAUUGCUGCGGGUGGCAACUGCUGCUGAGGAAAGAACUGAGGAAGCCAUUGUUAAUUACACUUAAGACAGAAAGAUUUCUCUUUCUCUCUUUUCCUUUUUUUUCCUUUAAAC